UAAUACGAAGGGGGCUAGCGUUGUUCGGAAUUACUGGGCGUAAAGGGCGCGUAGGCGGCCUUGUGCGUCGUGCGUGAAAGGCCUGGGCUCAACCCAGGAAUGGCGCUCGAUACGGCAUGGCUAGAGUGCAGGAGAGGAUGGUGGAAUUCCCAGUGUAGAGGUGAAAUUCGUAGAUAUUGGGAAGAACACCGGUGGCGAAGGCGGCCAUCUGGACUGCAACUGACGCUGAGGCGCGAAAGCGUGGGGAGCAAACAGGAUUAGAUACCCUGGUAGUCCACGCUGUAAACGAUGUGCGCUAGACGUUGGUGGACCUAGUUCGCCAGUGUCGAAGCUAACGCAUUAAGCGCACCGCCUGGGGAGUACGGCCGCAAGGUUA
rnacentral:rRNA from 1 species